UGGGGAAUAUUGGACAAUGGGCGAAAGCCUGAUCCAGCCAUGCCGCGUGUGUGAAGAAGGUCUUCGGAUUGUAAAGCACUUUAAGUUGGGAGGAAGGGCAGUUACCUAAUACGUGAUUGUUUUGACGUUACCGACAGAAUAAGCACCGGCUAACUCUGUGCCAGCAGCCGCGGUAAUACAGAGGGUGCAAGCGUUAAUCGGAAUUACUGGGCGUAAAGCGCGCGUAGGUGGUUUGUUAAGUUGGAUGUGAAAUCCCCGGGCUCAACCUGGGAACUGCAUUCAAAACUGACUGACUAGAGUAUGGUAGAGGGUGGUGGAAUUUCCUGUGUAGCGGUGAAAUGCGUAGAUAUAGGAAGGAACACCAGUGGCGAAGGCGACCACCGGGACUAAUACUGACACUGAGGUGCGAAAGCGUGGGGAGCAAACA
rnacentral:rRNA from 1 species